UACGAAGGGGGCUAGCGUUGCUCGGAAUCACUGGGCGUAAAGGGUGCGUAGGCGGGUCUUUAAGUCAGGGGUGAAAUCCUGGAGCUCAACUCCAGAACUGCCUUUGAUACUGAAGAUCUUGAGUUCGGGAGAGGUGAGUGGAACUGCGAGUGUAGAGGUGAAAUUCGUAGAUAUUGGGAAGAACACCGGUGGCGAAGGCGGCUCACUGGCUCAUUUCUGACGCUCAGGCGCGACAGCGUGGGGAUCAAACAGG
rnacentral:rRNA from 1 species